AUCUUGCACAAUGGGGGCAACCCUGAUGCAGCGAUGCCGCGUGAGUGAAGAAGGCCUUCGGGUUGUAAAGCUCUUUCGAUUGGGAAGAAGGGUUUUUAAGUGAAUAAUUUAAGAAUCUGACGGUACCUAGAGAAGAAGCACCGGCUAACUCCGUGCCAGCAGCCGCGGUAAUACGGAGGGUGCAAGCGUUGUUCGGAAUUCCUGGGCGUAAAGCGCACGUAGGCGGGUUCGUAAGUCGAUUGUGAAAGCCCCGGGCUCAAUCCGGGAAUUGCAGUCGAAACUACGAGUCUUGAAUACCUGAGAGGGUGACGGAAUUCCUGGUGUAGAAGUGAAAUUCGUAGAUAUCAGGAGGAACACCGGAGGCGAAGGCGGUUGCCUGGCAGUGUAUUGACGCUGAGGUGCGAAAGCGUGGGGAGCAAACAGG
rnacentral:rRNA from 1 species